rnacentral:rRNA from 1 species
AUAUCAAUAAGCGGAGGAAAAGAAACUAACAAGGAUUCCCUCAGUAACGGCGAGUGAAGCGGGAAGAGCUCAAAUUUAAAAUCUGGCUUACUUGUAAGUCCGAGUUGUAGUCUGAAGAAACGUUUUCCAUAAGCACUGAGGCACAAGUCCCUUGGAACAGGGCAUCAUAGAGGGUGAGAAUCCCGUCCAUGGUCUCAAGUUGCUUAUUUUGUGAUACGUUUUCAAAGAGUCAGGUUGUUUGGGAAUGCAGCCUAAAAUGGGUGGUAAAUUUCAUCUAAAGCUAAAUAUUGGCGAGAGACCGAUAGCGAACAAGUACCGUGAGGGAAAGAUGAAAAGAACUUUGAAAAGAGAGUUAAACAGUACGUGAAAUUGUUGAAAGGGAAACGCUUGAAGUCAGUCGUGUCCUCUAGGGAUCAAGUCAGCUCUGGCUGGCCGUACUUUCUAGUUGGAUGGGUCAGCAUCAAUUUUGAUCGCUGGAUAAAGGCCUUGGGAAUGUGGCAUCUUCGGAUGUGUUAUAGACCAUGGUUCUGAUACAGCGGUUGGGAUUGAGGAACUCAGCGCGCCUUCGUGGUUGCGUUCAGGAUGCUGGCAUAAUGGCUUUAAUCGA